rnacentral:rRNA from 1 species
UACGGAGGGGGCUAGCGUUGUUCGGAAUCAUUGGGCGUAAAGGGCGCGUAGGCGGCCUGCCAAGUCGGGUGUGAAAUCCCUCGGCUCAACCGAGGAACUGCACUCGAUACUGGCUGGCUAGAGUCCGGGAGGGGAUGGUGGAAUUCCCAGUGUAGCGGUGAAAUGCGUAGAUAUUGGGAAGAACACCGGUGGCGAAGGCGGCCAUCUGGACCGGAACUGACGCUGAGGCGCGAAAGCCAGGGGAGCGAAUGGG